CUCUACCUGACUCCAUUCCGAACUCAGAAGUAAAACGCAGUAACGCCGAUGGUAGUGUGGGGUUUCCCCAUGUGAGAGUAGGGCAUCGCCAGAU
rnacentral:rRNA from 1 species